CACUUUGUUGUAGUGGGCUGAAAGAGACUGAACUGUUGGUGGUUACCAGCGCUUUGUAACAGUCUGAGAUAAAGCUGUAACAUUAGUUUUCCAACGUCUUCAGGACAGAGGAGUUUAUGACGAGCUACACAUUUUUAAUUGUAAACUGGUCGCUAAAUGGAGAAAGAUGGUGAGAUUGAGAGAUGGAGAGAUAAUGAGAGGUGGAGAGCUAUUGAGAGAUGGAGAGAUGGAGAGAGAUGGAGAGUGAUGGAGAGAUGGAGAGAGAUGGAGAGUUGGAGAGAUAUUGAGAGAUGGAGAGUGGUGGAGAGAUUGAGAGAUAUUGAGAGAUGGAGAGUGAUGGAGAGAUGGAGAGAUAUUGAGAGAUGGAGAGAUAUGGAGAGAUGGAGAGAUAUUGAGAGAUGGAGAGAUAUUGAGAGAUGGAGAGAUAUUGAGAGAUGGAGAGUGGUGGAGAGAUUGAGAGAUGGAGAGAUAUUGAGAGAUGGAGAAAGAUUACAUGAUGGAGCGUGAUGGAGAGAUGGAGAGAUAUUGAGAGAUGGAGAGAUAUUGAGAGAUGGAGAGUGGUGGAGAGAUGGAGAGAUAUUGAGAGAUGGAGAGAUAUUGAGAGGUGGAGAGUGAUGGAGAGAUGGAGAGAUGGAGAGAGAUGGAGAGUUGGAGAGAUAUUGAGAGAUGGAGAGAGAUGGAGAGUGAUGGAGAGAUAUUGAGAGAUGGAGAGUGGUGGAGAGAUGGAGAGAUGGAGAGAGAUGGAGAGUUGGAGAGAUAUUGAGAGAUGGAGAGAUAUUGAGAGAUGGAGAGAUAUUGAGAGAUGGAGAGAUAUUGAGAGAUGGAGAGUGGUUGAGAUGGAGAGAUAUUGAGAGAUAUGGAGAGUGAUGGAGAGAUAUUGAGAGAUGGAGAAGAUAUGAGAGAUGGAGAGUGAUAGAGAGAUGGAGAGAUAUUGAGAGAUGGAGAGAUGGAGAAAGAUACGUGAUGGAGAGAGAUGGAGAGAGAUGUAGAGUUGGAGAGAUAUUGAGAGAUGGAGAAAGAUUACGUGAUGGAGAGAUGGAGAGAGAUGGAGAGAGAUGGAGAGAUGGAGAGAGAUGGAUGAAGGCAGUAAUUGUGUUUCUCUCAGUAAGAGUUUUUAAGGCUGACCUUUUCCCGAGCAGCUCCUGUCACCCCGCAGGUUCACCAGCGCUCUGUCCCACAGCCUCCGGACGUCUCUUUAGAUUUUAUCACGGGCCUAAUUUACUCUGGGGACAUUUCCUCACUGAUUUCUUCAACAUCUCGUCCACUGGGAACUUUCUGUUACAGCACAAAAGUUUGCACACUGAUAAAACCAACAAGGCAUUUAAUAUGACUUUUACACGGGAGAUGUUGCUUCAUUAUCGUUAUCAGCAAUCCACGGUCACGUGGAUUUAUAUUCCACUUCACUAAGACUCUAACCUCAUCCGUAAAUGUAAACAUAAACAAAAAAAGUAAACAUGUGGUAAUCAUUAGAAAACGGUUGCGGUGUAAGAGUAAUAACACCCUCCAGGACAUGCUGUUGUAGGGAAAAGAUCGACUCUGGGACGGUAAUUGAGGAAAUAAACAAACACAGCGCAUCAUAUACAAGACCACGUAAUGGCAAACGAUGCGCAUCAGCAGGAAAUAAUGUUAUUAUUGAACCAGAUUCAGCAUUAAUUUAACGAUCCUCACGGCGGUUAUAUCGUCAUGGCGAUAUAUCAUCGCAGCAGUACAUGUAGAUGAGCGAAACACACGAUUCUGCUUCUCUAGACAGGAAGUCGUCUGCGCUUUGGGUUCUGUAAGCUCUCGAAACUGUGAGACAUCCAGCACAACACUCAACAAAUGCACACGCUCCAGACAUUUCUGCUGUUACCAUAGCGAUGAGGUCG
ensembl:lncRNA